UACGUAGGGUGCAAGCGUUGUCCGGAAUUAUUGGGCGUAAAGAGCUCGUAGGCGGUUUGUCGCGUCUGCUGUGAAAAUCCAGGGCUUAACCCUGGACCUGCAGUGGGUACGGGCAGACUGGAGUGCGGUAGGGGAGAUCGGAAUUCCUGGUGUAGCGGUGAAAUGCGCAGAUAUCAGGAGGAACACCGGUGGCGAAGGCGGAUCUCUGGGCCGUAACUGACGCUGAGGAGCGAAAGCGUGGGGAUCAAACAGG
rnacentral:rRNA from 1 species